AGCGAACGCUGGCGGCAGGCCUAACACAUGCAAGUCGAACGAACUCUUCGGAGUUAGUGGCGGACGGGUGAGUAACACGUGGGAACGUGCCUUUAGGUUCGGAAUAACUCAGGGAAACUUGUGCUAAUACCGAAUGUGCCCUUCGGGGGAAAGAUUUAUCGCCUUUAGAGCGGCCCGCGUCUGAUUAGCUAGUUGGUGAGGUAAAGGCUCACCAAGGCGACGAUCAGUAGCUGGUCUGAGAGGAUGAUCAGCCACAUUGGGACUGAGACACGGCCCAAACUCCUACGGGAGGCAGCAGUGGGGAAUCUUGCGCAAUGGGCGAAAGCCUGACGCAGCCAUGCCGCGUGAAUGAUGAAGGUCUUAGGAUUGUAAAAUUCUUUCACCGGGGACGAUAAUGACGGUACCCGGAGAAGAAGCCCCGGCUAAGUUCGUG
rnacentral:rRNA from 1 species